rnacentral:misc_RNA from 1 species
GAAAUGCGAUAAGUAAUGUGAAUUGCAGAAUUCAGUGAAUCAUCGAAUCUUUGAACGCACAUUGCGCCCGCCAGAAUUCUGGCGGGCAUGCCUGUUCGAGCGUCAUUUCAACCCUCGAGCUCCCCUUGCGGGGGGAGCCCGGCGUUGGGGACGCGGCGCCAACAGCGCCGGCCCCGAAAUGGAGUGGCGGCCCGUCCGCGGCGACCUCUGCGUAGUAACAUCCACUCGCACCGGGACCCGGGCGCGGCCACGCCGUAAAACACCCCACCUUCCGAAUGUUGACCUCGAAUCAGGUAGGAAUACCCGCUGAACUUAAGC